rnacentral:rRNA from 1 species
GACGAACGCUGGCGGCGUGCUUAACACAUGCAAGUCGAACGGAAAGGCCCUGCUUUUGUGGGGUGCUCGAGUGGCGAACGGGUGAGUAACACGUGAGUCACCUGCCCUUGACUUUGGGAUAACUUCAGGAAACUGGGGCUAAUACCGGAUAGGAGCUCCUGCUGCAUGGUGGGGGUUGGAAAGUUUCGGCGGUUGGGGAUGGACUCGCGGCUUAUCAGCUUGUUGGUGGGGUAGUGGCUUACCAAGGCUUUGACGGGUAGCCGGCCUGAGAGGGUGACCGGCCACAUUGGGACUGAGAUACGGCCCAGACUCCUACGGGAGGCAGCAGUGGGGAAUAUUGCACAAUGGGCGGAAGCCUGAUGCAGCAACGCCGCGUGCGGGAUGACGGCCUUCGGGUUGUAAACCGCUUUCGCCUGUGACGAAGAGUGAGUGACGGUAAUGGGUAAAGAAGCACCGGCUAACUACGUG